rnacentral:tRNA from 1 species
GGUGGCUCAGUGGUAGAGUGCUUGCCUUGCACGCAUGAGUCCCUGGGUUCAAUUCCUCAGCACCA